UACGAAGGGUGCAAGCGUUACUCGGAAUUACUGGGCGUAAAGCGUGCGUAGGUGGUUUGUUAAGUCUGAUGUGAAAGCCCUGGGCUCAACCUGGGAAUUGCAUUGGAUACUGGCAGGCUAGAGUGCGGUAGAGGGUAGUGGAAUUCCCGGUGUAGCAGUGAAAUGCGUAGAGAUCGGGAGGAACACCAGUGGCGAAGGCGGGUCUCUGGACAGUUCCUGACACUGAGGCACGAAGGCCAGGGGAGCAAACGGG
rnacentral:rRNA from 1 species